CGAUUUAGUGAUUGUUGUAGGGUUUCAUUCACCAGUGAGUUCACUUUCCCGUGUUUCAGCAUGUAGCACGCCUUAGUGGUUUCAUUAGUGUUUCCUUCACCUGUGAGUUCACUUUCCCAUGUUUCAGCCAUGCACGGUUUAGUCCUUUCAAUAGUGUUUCAUUCCACAGUGAGUUCACUCUCCCGUGUUUCAGCGGUGCACGGUUUUUUGGUUUCAUUAGGGUUUCAUUCACAUGUGAGUUCACUCUCCCGUGUUUCCGCAAGGGACGGUUUAGUGGUUUCAU